GAUGAACGCUGGCGGCGUGCCUAAUACAUGCAAGUCGAGCGAACAGACGAGGAGCUUGCUCCUCUGACGUUAGCGGCGGACGGGUGAGUAACACGUGGAUAACCUACCUAUCAGACUGGGAUAACUUCGGGAAACCGGAGCUAAUACCGGAUAAUCUCUUGAACCGCAUGGUUCAAUAGUGAAAGUCGGUUUUGCUGUCACUUCUAGAUGGAUCCGCGCCGCAUUAGCUAGUUGGUAAGGUAACGGCUUACCACGGCAACGAUGCGUAGCCGACCUGAGAGGGUGAUCGGCCACACUGGAACUGAGACACGGUCCAGACUCCUACGGGAGGCAGCAGUAGGGAAUCUUCCGCAAUGGGCGAAAGCCUGACGGAGCAACGCCGCGUGAGUGAUGAAGGUCUUCGGAUCGUAAAACUCUGUUAUUAGGGAAGAACAAAUGUGUAAGUAACUAUGCACGUCUUGACGGUACCUAAUCAGAAAGCCACGGCUAACUACGUG
rnacentral:rRNA from 1 species